CUUUGUUAAUGCUUGUAAAAUAUCUACAGAGGCAACGCCUUUCAUUUGACAUUGUGCUGCUCCGUCUGGUGUGCCUGCCAUGCCCACUUGAGGUGCAACAGCUUCUCCUACGACUAAAAAAAUGGCGAGGAAAACUGGACUCACUUUUCACCGUUUUCCUGCAUGGAGGACCAAAUAUCAGAUCAUGAAGGCACGACGGAUGGCUGGGGCGCAGCGGUUCAUUGGAAAAGCAUUUCUCUUGAUCAUAUUUCUGCUGGAAUGAGAGUGUAUUCCCCUCAUCUCUACUCUUGAAAACCUGCAUAUGAAAUGCUGACAACACAUCCCGAUUGGUCACCAUAUCUCUUCUUGGGUUAUUCUGAGGUCAAGCGCACCACAUCGGAGCGUUAUGAGAGGUUGGAAAGGCGAAGAGUGCACGCUGAAACUUCAGUUUGCUCUGCUCUUACAAACACGAUCCCGAGUGUUGUUGUGAAAAGUCAAUAAAAUAUGAAUACCAAAACAUGACUUGAACAACUUCUUGACAAACUGUAACUGCUUGUUGUUUACUUCAGGUCUUCAUAAUAAACAGGUGUAAUAAUUACAAAGUCAGGUGACUUAAUUUUGUUAUUAUAUUUGGAAUAUGCAUUGACAAUUUUUGGACAGUGUUGUAGACAAGAACUGGGACUGAUAAGUUGCAAUAGAUUUAUUUCAAGUAAUGCAAUUUCUCCAAUACGAUAUUUGAAUUGACAGUUUAAAAUCUUUAAAUUAGUGCAAACAAGGCCCACCCUCUGACGGUGGCAGCAAAUAUUAUAUAAUUAUAAGUAAUACACAAAUACAAGAUCACAAUAAACGUGUCUUUGUCAAAGCAGUUUAAAACACUAUUUACUGGCCUUGGGUAAAUUGCCAGACAGGAUAAAUAUGUGCUUUAAAGUUCUUGCAUUUCCAUUUUAAGUAUUGCAAGUACUAGUCUCCAACACAGUAUUUGAACUGACAGUUUAAAAUCCUUUUAGUACAAAAUGGCCCACACUCUGGCAGGGGGCAGCAAAUAUUAUAAUACAUAAUACAUUAUAAAAAUCUAUAUAUUAUAUAAAUACAAGAUCACAACAAAACCUGUAUUUUUUCAAAGCAGUUAAAAAACAUCCAGUGGCCUUAGGUAAAUAAAGGUGUAUAAAUAUGUACUUUACAGUUCUUGCAUUUCUAUUUUAGGUAUUGCAACUUUUCCAACACUAUUUGAAUUGACAGUCUAAAGUCUCCAUAAGUGCAAAUAAGAAUAUUAUAAUUUAAAAAUAAUAAUAGAAUAUAUAAAUUCAACAUUACAAUGAAACGUGUCUUUGUCAAAGUGGUUUAAAAAAAAUAAUAAUAAUAAUAAUACGUCACUGGCCAUAGUUAAAUAGCCAGGCAGAAUAAAUAUGUGCAUUAAAGUUCUUGCAUUUUCACAAGUUAAAAGCCCGCAGUUCAUCGACGAGAAGGGCAGACCCAGAUGGCGUCUGCUGCAGGGGCUUGUUUGAGUCCGACACAGGACAAAUGGAACCACUCCAUUGAACAAAUUUUCUUUGUCAAAUGAUCCAAGAAGAGAGAUGGUGACCAAUCGGGAUGUGUUGUCAGCAGGUUUACCUAGGAACACAACAGGUAGGUGAGUCGUAGUAGGCGAGCAUUGCUACCGAGGCAGAUUUACACAACGGUGU